rnacentral:rRNA from 1 species
UACGUAGGUGGCAAGCGUUGUCCGGAAUUAUUGGGCGUAAAGCGCGCGCAGGCGGUCCUUUAAGUCUGAUGUGAAAGCCCACGGCUCAACCGUGGAGGGUCAUUGGAAACUGGAGGACUUGAGUACAGAAGAGGAAAGCGGAAUUCCACGUGUAGCGGUGAAAUGCGUAGAGAUGUGGAGGAACACCAGUGGCGAAGGCGACUUUCUGGUCUGUAACUGACGCUGAGGCGCGAAAGCGUGGGGAGCAAACAGG